AACGAACGCUGGCGGCAGGCUUAACACAUGCAAGUCGAACGGGUGUAGCAAUACAUCAGUGGCAGACGGGUGAGUAACACGUGGGAACCUUCCUAGAGGUACGGAACAACUCAGGGAAACUUGAGCUAAUACCGUAUACGCUCUUGCGAGGAAAGAUUUAUCGCCUUUAGACGGGCCCGCGUAGGAUUAGGUAGUUGGUGAGGUAACGGCUCACCAAGCCUACGAUCCUUAGCUGAUCUGAGAGGAUGAUCAGCCACACUGGAACUGAGACACGGUCCAGACUCCUACGGGAGGCAGCAGUGGGGAAUCUUGGACAAUGGGCGCAAGCCUGAUCCAGCCAUGCCGCGUGAGUGAAGAAGGCCUUCGGGUUGUAAAGCUCUUUCGUCAGGGACGAUAAUGACGGUACCUGAAGAAUAAGCCCCGGCAAACUUCGUGCCAGCCGCCGCGGUAA
rnacentral:rRNA from 1 species